AUGAAGUUAUUUUGAAAGCAUCUCUCCACUCUUGCUAUGUUUGGCAAUGUGUUGCAAUAGAAAGAGGUGGUUGCAGGUAUCUAACUCAGAAUUCAUAUGAUCUUUCAAGAUUUGGAGAAAAAGAAGAAACCCGCACACUGCUCUUUAAUAAGCUUUACGUAUUGACCUCAAGGCCUUUGUCAGGGCAGUUAUGAAGUGCGAAACCAUUUUGGGGAUGUUCCUUUGUGUUAAGGAGAAUAAUGUGAUUAGACGUGGUAGUAGGUCCCUCCGUGAUAAGAAGUGUACAAUGUUAUCAGGUUUGGGUAGGUAGGAGGGUAUAGUUCAAUGUUGUCAGGUUGCUGCAAUCAGCUCAGGAAGGGAACUGAGUUCAUCAGCAGUGGUGACACUAAUGACUCACAGGAUGUCACAGUGUGUCACUUCCUCUUUCUAAUGUCCUCUGCACUGUGGGUAGCUGUGAGCUGAGUAGACUUUCAGGGUGGGUUCAUAACUGUGGGGCCCUGACAGCCCUGCUUAGCCCAGCAAAAAGAGCACAGAUUGACUGAUGGACAGAUCACAGAACAUAAUAGAACCAGAAUCCUCCCAGUCACCCUGACAACACCGGAGAGAGAGAGAAGAGAGAGCGAGAGGAGAGGGAGAGAGAGGAGAGAGAGAGAGAAAGAGAGAGAGAGAGGGUGGGAGGGAAGGAGAGAAGAGACGAGAGAGAAAAGAGAACUCUUUCAUAUUUUUCUAGCACCAUGGGUACGAGUCAGUCCACGUGGUCGCAGGUCUGUGCUAGUCAGAUGUGGGAGAAAGGCCAUCCUCCUGCCGCUGUUUGCAGAGCUAUGUCAGGAAAAAGGGGAAUAAAUACAACGGUCUGUUGGAUCGCUCCAGAUGGAAAUUCUUAAAGCAGAGUUGCUGUGGAAGUGCACAUUGCUGGACAGGAUAUCCUGUAUUACUCACAUCAACGAUCACCUAAACACCUCCUGACCGUAGGGAUAAACAUCAGUGUGUGUCAACAGAAAACAGAAUACCACCAGAAAUGUCACAUAGGAAGACAAAACUUAAAAUCAGUAGCCUUAAGUAGUCCUGAGUGGUGCAGCGGUCUAAGGCACUGAAUCUCAGUGGCAUCACUACAGAGGCAUCACUACAGAGGCAUCACUACUGUAUCACAAACGGACGUGAUUGGGAGUCCCAUAUGCGGUGCAGAAUUAGCCCAGUGUCGUCCGGGUUAGGUGCGGGUUUGGCCGGGGUAGGUCGACAUUGUAAAAUAAGAAUUUGUUAUUAACUGACUUGUCUAGUUAAAUAAAGGUUAAAUAAAGCAUUUUAAUUUAUUUUUAUUUUUAUCAUCAAUAGAUUUAUAUGGCACACAGACACUCCCCAUAAAUAAUACUGCAGAGGGCCCCCAACCACCAUUCCCACCACCAUCGCCUAUCUGACUACGUAACGCAUGCCUCCACUGCAAUGACUGACAAGAAUUAUAGUCAGAACACUGACGUACAAUUCCCAUUAGUUUGGGAGCAAUAUGAAUUUGAAUUACAUAAGAGAGAGAGAGCAAGGUUGUACGUUUAACAUGCUCUGAGUCUGAGUAGUACAUGACAGUACGUGAUAUGCUAGCCUCGGGAUAAAUACAGAACUGUGAGCCGUCAAUUCACCACAUCGAGCAGUUAUGUUAGCUAGGAUACACCUAGUACAACGUCAUCAGAGCACAACGCAAUUAUUGUUGUCUAUCAACAAUGACAAGCCACCGGGGUCUGACAAUCUGGAUGGAAAAUUACUGAAGAUAAUAGCAGACGAUAUUGGCAUAUCUUCAAUUUAAGCCUACUAGAAAGUGUGCGCCCUUAGGCCUGGAGGGAAGCUAAAGUCAUUCCGCUACUGUAAGGGUUUUCCUGUGGUGAAGGAGAGGCGGACCAAAAUGCAGCGUGGUGGUUAUUCAUGUUCUUUAAUUUAUAAAGACACUACACAUGAAAUAACUAACAAAAACAACAAACGCGAGAAAACCUAAAACAGUCCUAUCUGGUGCAAACACAAAGACAGGAUCAAUCACCCACAAACACACAGUGAAACCCAGGCUACCUAAAUAUGGUUCCCAAUCAGAGACAAUGACUAACACCUGCCUCUGAUUGAGAACCAUAUCAGGCCAGACAUAGAAAUAGACAAACAAGACAUCCAACAUAGAAUGCCCUCUCAGAUCACACCCUGACCAACCAAAACAUAGUUUGCUUUGUAUG
rnacentral:lncRNA from 13 species